rnacentral:lncRNA from 1 species
ACCCAAGCACUAACAUGAGGUCUUGAUUCAAAAAGCUUCUUGCUUUGUGACUUCAUCAAGUAAUGAAGAGAAGGUAAAUGAUGCAAAUCCACCAAGGUGAAAGAGUCACCUCCAAAGUAUUUGGACUCAGACAAUCUUUUCUCAUACACAUCAAGAAUACUAUCCAACUUGGCUUCAUUCUCUUCAACAAUUUUUGGAUCCAAAGGAAUUCCAAAUAAAGUCUUUAUCCCCAAUUCCCAAACAAGUUUUGAUGCUACUUGAUCAAAGUGAUGGCUCUCCACUUCAGACCACACCCCCAUUAUUGCCAACUUCUUGGAGUCACUGCUUGUUAGCUUGGUCCCCUUAUCAGCAUACUCGUGAUUAAUAUAUUGUGUUAUGGCCCUUGACUCUGCAUUUCAAUUUAUAAUCAGUUCAAUGCUCCUUAGUUUUGAAUAAACUUCAUAUAUGCAUCAAAUUCUAUUCUAUAAAGCACUCAUGAACACUCGACAUUUAAAAAAUAACAUUGACAUGUCGACACCAAUUUUUAAUGUAAAUGUUUUUAUUCAAUAAAUUGUCCCAUUUUAUUUGUUUCAAUUGCUUUAAAAAAUAAAAUAUAAAAUGUGGCCUAAGGCUAUGGCCUUAUUGACCUUGCCUUAGCCAGGACACUAUGUAUUGGUAUCAUAUCGGACAUUAAACGAUCUUCGAUAUAAAAUGUUGAAGUGAAUAAAUCCACAUAUCUUACCAAAGAGCUUUAAAUCUCCAUCUUCAAAAGCUGGAACUUGACCAAAUGGCUGCAUCAUAAAGAUUUAAUGAGUUAGAUAAAUGUGGUUGGAAGAAGAAGGAAAUUAAUUUCAAUUAAUCCAAAAUUAAAGUAAACUACUAGAAUGAUAUUUUGUGAUAUUGCUUACAUUGAGUGAUAUGAACGGUUCCUUUUUGUGUUCUCCAUUCCUCAUGUUAAUGUUAAAAAACUCAAACUCAAUCUGCUUUUCAUACAGAGUUGCAGUAACCCGCAUGGUGGCCGUUGAGUAGGGACUUCCAUGGACUUUUAUUGUUGCCAUGAUUUACAAGAUUAAUCGAUCACAAGAUUAAUUUAUUGUUCUUAAUUAACUUUGGUAAGUUGUAGAAUUAAAUGAUAAUAGCUUUGAUGGUUAUAUAGUAAGAUGGAUAGAUUGGAAAGUGCGUAAGAGCUGACGUGAAAGAAGAUUAGUAUUAAACAAUUGGAAGCUGGUAGCCCAAUUCCAUAAAUGCUGAACAAAAAAAUUAAAAUACUACAUUAGUACAUUCACUCAGAACCAGGAAAUCUCAAAAAUCCUAUGACGCAUAGAAAUACAUCAGCAAAAAUAAAGUGCUCCCACAGUUGGAGAACUAGCACAUGUUUGUGGUGGGGUUUAGUUCAAUUUUGUGUCGAAAACUAUUUAAUUCCAAUAAUAAAAUAUUGAUUUUUUUCUAGUUAUACCUUUAAAACAUCAGGUUACAUCCGAAUUUGGAUAAUAUUUUAUCACGGUACUAAAAUAGUCCUUGAUUCCAUAAUAAUUUAAUUUUCACCUCUUUCUCACACAAACAUCAAUAUUGAAAAAGAAAUGAUAUUUGAACAACUAUUUUAUGAUAAUUUUUAGAUAAUUUUCUUCCUAUACUUAAAUUAUGUACUUAUAUUCUCUUUGCCUCUUUCUUCAAAUAUCAUUACUCUUAUUGAAAUGAAGACAAAAGUUCCUUUUAAAAAAUUAUUUAAGAUGAACAAAGGAACAUUAUGUAAGGUUUCUAAUUAAGUAUAAUUUUUUUCUCUCAAAAAAAAAAUUAAGUACAAUUUUUUAGGGUUAAAUAUGUUUUAGGUCCCUAUAAAUAUAUCAAGUUUUUGUUUUCGUCCCUCUAAAAUUUUCCUUCAACUUUUAAUCCCUAUAAAAUUUUCAAUCACUACUUUAGACCCUAGUUUUAAGUUAAUUUUGUAUUUUUCUUAAUGAAAUUGUGCACAAAUGUGUAGAAUAUUGUAAAAAAAAAUUCCAAAAAAAUUAGAAUUUUUUAACAAAACACAAAUUAAAUAUAAAUUUUUAACCGUCAAAGAUAUAAAAAUUCAUAUUAAAUUUUUGUUUUUUUUUUAAAUUUUAAUUUUUUUUGGGUGAGAUUCUUAUAAUAUUAUGAAUGUUUCAAAAGUAUGAAUUCUACAUAUGAGUUUACUUAAAAGGAGGGACCAAAAGUGAAGAUGGAAAUUGUUUUAGAGACUAGAACAAAAAGUUGACAUAUUUAUAGGGACCAAAAACAUAUUUAACCUUAAUUUUUAUUUUAUUUUAUCGAUAUUCAAAUGAAUAAGCAAUUAAAAGAAUAAAAGUGAAUUUUUGAGUGAUUUUCUGUUUUUCAUGUCAUCAAUAUUCAAUUAAAAGAAUAUGUAUUGAAUUGAGAUUUCAAAGGAUUUUGAUAUACUUUUUAUGAUAAAAAAAUCUUGUCGUAUUGAAUCAAGACUUUUAUUAAAUCUAUAUAAAUCUUGUGGUAUUCAAUUAAGACUUUUUUUUUUAAGGCAGCCAAAUCUGUUGGUAUUCAAUUAAGAUUUCUAAGAACUUAUAAAAUGUCUUUUGGUAUUGAAAAUAUGCAGAUUUUAAUGGAUUCAUUUGGGGAAUGGAUUGUGUGAGACUUUUUAGUUGAAAUACACUCAUCCAACAAUCUCACACAAACUCUUGAGAUUGUGUGAUACUCUUCCAAAUUCAAUUUUUUUUUUGACGUUUCUUCAAAAUUCUUUUCUGUUCUAUACUAUGACGAUGGCAGGUUAUAUAUUUUGUUUGGCAAACUUGCUUGUCGAAAUCAUCAUGCCUCUGACUUGCACUUUUCUUAACAGAACUAGUUGCAUUUUUCUACUUUAUGUUCAUUGACAUUAUAAUAAUUUUUCUACUUGCUUUUUUCUUCCUAUAAUAACAUGCAUUUUUCAAUCAAAUUAUUAUAAUGAAUAGACUUAACAUAACUUAUUUUAAUGCAUGUCUAUUUAUUUUGAUAUCAUAUGCCCAUAAUUUUUUUAAGAUGAGGCAACCUGCUAGUAGUACUAUAUCAUCUCAUAGUCUAUACGUUCAUUGAUUCAUUGUUUUUUUCGGUCGAUUUAUAUAUGUACUUUUGUUUUUGAGUUUUUUUGGCAAUGAUAUAUACAUCUAAUAGUAUUAUACCAUACUGUAUCUUUACAUUUAUUGAUCCCUUUAAAAUCUAAAAAAUUCAUAAAGUCCUUUAAAAUCUAUAUUAUAAAUCCAUUAAAAUUUUGCAUUGAGAAUCUUGAUUGUAAAAAGUCUUUUAAAAUCCCACAAAAUCAAUACAAUCCAACAAAGUCUUUUAAAAUCUGCAAGAUUUUUUCUAUCAAAAUAGUUUUUUAAAAGGUUUAAAUGUAUCAUUGGUCUCUACACUUUCAUCAGAUUUUGGCAUUGGUCCCUGCACUUUUUUUUGUUUGGCAUUGGUCCCUGCACUUUGUAAAAAUAUUGGUAUUGGUCCCUCUGUUAACUUUCGGUUAAAAAAAAAACACAAAACUAUUGGUAUUGAUCCCUGCACUUUGUAAAAAUAUUGAUAUUGGUGCCACGUGGCGUGAAAUGAUUGGGCCACGUGGCACUCCGUUGGUUUUAUGUUUUUUUUUUAACAGAAAGUUAACAGAGGGACCAAUACCAAUAUUUUUACAAAGUGCAGGGAUCAAUGCCAAACAAAAAAAAGUGCAGGGACCAAUGCCAAAUCUGAUGAAAGUGCAGGGACCAAUGACACAUUUAAACCUUUUUUAAAAUACCAAUCAAAUACACCCGCCUAAAAGUGAAUUUUACAUGAAAUUAUUUGUCAAAUCAAAUUUUAUCCAUUCACGUAUGGCAUCUUAUGAGUGUUGAAAUAUGGGUUUCGAUUCACGUAUGCAUACGAUUGCCAUUUACGCUGUUAAUUUGCCAUUGAAUUCACUAUUCAAUUGGCAAUUGAAUUCAAUACGAAUUGGUAUCACGAAGCAAUUCAUGUUUCUUCUUACAAGGGAAAAACAUGAUCAAAUUGAUCUAAUGUAAAUUGCACUAAAAUUGGAUCGAAUUUAAUUUUUUUUAUAAACACGAAUUUUUUCUCUCCUGGUGUUGUAAGUGAUUUGUUUUUUCAAAUGGUAGUUUCACAUAAAUCUAUAACAAAUUCUUUCGGUAGAAGACAUAAUCUUUUUUGGUACAAAGUAGAAGGCAAAAUAUAUGAUAAAAUUCACUGACCACAAUUUAUGCAAGUCUAUUUAAAGAGAAGACUCUUGGUUGUAUAACAUAUAUAUAUAUGUAUGGAAUUUAAAUAAGCCCCAUACAUACUUUUUUUUUUUACAAUAGCCCGAUACAUAGAUAAUAGCAUACUAAAAUAAAUAAGCAUUUAGAUUGAAUAUAUGCAAUUGAAAGAGUUACAUUUCUUGUCUCUAUGUAAAGCUUUUCAUGUCCCUUGGUGAUAUAUAUUAGUGGUUACAUUUGCCAAUUUAACUUUCAUUUAAUUUACUAGUUACAAAUAAUUCUUCGAAAGAAGAUAUGUUAAAACGACGGAAUAUUGUGAUUCAUCAUAAAAUAUGUAUGGGCUGGUUUCAAAGCAUUAUAAAGAUUUGCUGUAGAAAAAGAGCAUGUUCUAUUUUGUUCAAGAGAUUAGAAAAACAACAUUAUAAUUAACAUGAUACUAAUUUGAACCAAUGAAGAAACCAACAAUGUGCAGAUUAACGUUACAUACUAGUUAGGUUUAUAAAAGAGACUCCAAGUGUCAAAGACUAACUAAAAAGAGACUUUUGCCAAUAUUUACAUUAGACAAAAUGAAAAGAACAAAUGACAUCCCAAAGUUAAGAUAGUUUACGAUUACAGUCCAAAGCGAUACGUCAAAAUAGUAGAAGUUCAAAUAGUUCAGCAGCAAANAGUUUCGAAAUUUCACAACACAAGCGCAUCUGGUGUAGUGGUAUCAUAGUACCCUCCCACGGUACUGACCAGGGUUCGAUUCCCUGGAUGCGCAUUUUAGUUUUUCUAAACCUGUUUCAUGUUUGUUUUUUUUUUAACUGACUUUCCAAUCGUGAAGGUUGUAUAAAUUGUAAAAUUUUACGACGAAUGCAAUUGAUUGAGCUUUUGGCAUACCCAGUUUACAGUACACUUGAAAAAUGACAAUAUGAAAUAAAUAAAAGCUUCUUGAAAUAUGAAACAACACCAAACAAAUCAAUAUUACAUUCCUUUGAAAGAAAUUGGACUAAAAUCCCUUAACCAUUGUCUUCGAUCAUCCGUCAGAUUCUCGCUGCGAUUAUUUAUUGAUAAAGUCGUUAAAUAUUUCAUACCAAUAACAUUAUUAAAAAACAACGCCCAACAACAAUAUGUAUCCAAAAACUGUCUUAAUUAGGUAUCAUGGCAAGGACUUCAGACCAAGCUGGUCUUGCAGUGAUAUCAGCCACCCAAGCACUAACAUGAGGUCUUGAUUCAAAAAGCUUCUUGCUUUGUGACUUCAUCAAGUAAUGAAGAGAAGGUAAAUGAUGCAAAUCCACCAAGGUGAAAGAGUCACCUCCAAAGUAUUUGGACUCAGACAAUCUUUUCUCAUACACAUCAAGAAUACUAUCCAACUUGGCUUCAUUCUCUUCAACAAUUUUUGGAUCCAAAGGAAUUCCAAAUAAAGUCUUUAUCCCCAAUUCCCAAACAAGUUUUGAUGCUACUUGAUCAAAGUGAUGGCUCUCCACUUCAGACCACACCCCCAUUAUUGCCAACUUCUUGGAGUCACUGCUUGUUAGCUUGGUCCCCUUAUCAGCAUACUCGUGAUUAAUAUAUUGUGUUAUGGCCCUUGACUCUGCAUUUCAAUUUAUAAUCAGUUCAAUGCUCCUUAGUUUUGAAUAAACUUCAUAUAUGCAUCAAAUUCUAUUCUAUAAAGCACUCAUGAACACUCGACAUUUAAAAAAUAACAUUGACAUGUCGACACCAAUUUUUAAUGUAAAUGUUUUUAUUCAAUAAAUUGUCCCAUUUUAUUUGUUUCAAUUGCUUUAAAAAAUAAAAUAUAAAAUGUGGCCUAAGGCUAUGGCCUUAUUGACCUUGCCUUAGCCAGGACACUAUGUAUUGGUAUCAUAUCGGACAUUAAACGAUCUUCGAUAUAAAAUGUUGAAGUGAAUAAAUCCACAUAUCUUACCAAAGAGCUUUAAAUCUCCAUCUUCAAAAGCUGGAACUUGACCAAAUGGCUGCAUCAUAAAGAUUUAAUGAGUUAGAUAAAUGUGGUUGGAAGAAGAAGGAAAUUAAUUUCAAUUAAUCCAAAAUUAAAGUAAACUACUAGAAUGAUAUUUUGUGAUAUUGCUUACAUUGAGUGAUAUGAACGGUUCCUUUUUGUGUUCUCCAUUCCUCAUGUUAAUGUUAAAAAACUCAAACUCAAUCUGCUUUUCAUACAGAGUUGCAGUAACCCGCAUGGUGGCCGUUGAGUAGGGACUUCCAUGGACUUUUAUUGUUGCCAUGAUUUACAAGAUUAAUCGAUCACAAGAUUAAUUUAUUGUUCUUAAUUAACUUUGGUAAGUUGUAGAAUUAAAUGAUAAUAGCUUUGAUGGUUAUAUAGUAAGAUGGAUAGAUUGGAAAGUGCGUAAGAGCUGACGUGAAAGAAGAUUAGUAUUAAACAAUUGGAAGCUGGUAGCCCAAUUCCAUAAAUGCUG